UAGCGUAGACCGUCAAUAUAUUAUGCA
rnacentral:sRNA from 1 species